rnacentral:rRNA from 1 species
GACGAACGCUGGCGGCGUGCUUAACACAUGCAAGUCGAACGAAGUGGCGAACGGGUGAGUAACGCGUAAGCAACCUGCUCUUCAGAGGGGGACACCAGUUGGAAACGACUGCUAAUACCGCAUACUGAAGGGCGGGAUUGCGUCGGAUUAGCUAGUUGGAGGGGUAACGGCCCACAAAUGCGAUGAUCAGUAGCCGGUCCGGGAGGAUGAACGGGCACAUCGGGACUGAGACCAGGCCCAGACUACCAAGGGAGGGAGCAGUGGGGAAUCAUUCGCAAUGGACGAAAGUCUGACGGAGCAACGCCGCGGGAGUGAAGACGGCCCUCGGGUUUGAAAGCUAUGUUAAUCGAGAAGUGGUACCGGAAGAGAAAGCAACGGCUAACUCCGUGCCAGCAGCCGCGGUAAUUC